UACGUAGGCAGCAAGCGUUUGUUCGGAGUUACUGGGCGUAAAGGGUGCGUAGGCGGCUUCUUAAGUCUGGUGUGAAAUCUCCCGGCUCAACUGGGAGGGUGCGCCGGAUACUGAGGGGCUAGAGUGUGGGAGAGGAAAGUGGAAUUCCUGGUGUAGCGGUGAAAUGCGUAGAUAUCGGGAGGAACACCUGUGGCGAAAGCGGCGCACUGGACCACAACUGACGCUGAGGCGCGAAAGCUAGGGGGAGCAAACAGG
rnacentral:rRNA from 1 species